AGGGUGUAAACGCUGCGGGCUUGGUGUUGGGGGUCCUUUGAGGGCGCCCAGUGCCGGAGAGAAGUUGUUAAGCCUGCUGCUUGGGGAGUACGUCCGCAAGGAUGAAACUUAAAGGAAUUGGCGGGGGGAGGCACCACAACGGGUGGAGCCUGCGGUUUAAUUGGACUCAACGCCGGGAAGCUCACCGGAUAAGACAGCGGAAUGAUUGCCGGGCUGAAGACCCUGCAUGACCAGCUGAGAGGUGGUGCAUGGCGUAGUCGUGU
rnacentral:rRNA from 1 species